UACGGGAGUGGCAAGCGUUAUCCGGAAUUAUUGGGCGUAAAGCGUCCGCAGGCGGUCUUGUAAGUCUGUUGUUAAAGCGUGGAGCUUAACUCCAUUUCAGCAAUGGAAACUGUAAGACUAGAGUGUGGUAGGGGCAGAGGGAAUUCCCGGUGUAGCGGUGAAAUGCGUGGAUAUCGGGAAGAACACCAGUGGCGAAGGCGCUCUGCUGGGCCAUAACUGACGCUCAUGGACGAAAGCCAGGGGAGCGAAAGGGAUUAGAUACCCCUGUAGUCCUGGCCGUAAACGAUGAACACUAGGUGUCGGGGGAAUCGACCCCCUCGGUGUCGUAGCCAACGCGUUAAGUGUUCCGCCUGGGGAGUACGCACGCAAGUGUGAAACUCAAAGGAAUUGACGGGGGCCCGCACAAGCGGUGGAGUAUGUGGUUUAAUUCGAUGCAACGCGAAGAACCUUACCAGGGUUUGACAUCCUGCGAAUCUUUUGGAAACGAGAGAGUGCCUUCGGGAACGCAGUGACAGGUGGUGCAUGGCUGUCGUCAGCUCGUGUCGUGAGAUGUUGGGUUAAGUCCCGCAACGAGCGCAACCCACGUCGUUAGUUGCCAGCAUUUAGUUGGGCACUCUAGCGAGACCGCCGGUGAUAAACCGGAGGAAGGUGUGGAUGACGUCAAGUCAUCAUGCCCCUUACAUCCUGGGCUACACACGUACUACAAUGCUACGGACAAAGGGCAGCAAACUCGCGAGAGCUAGCAAAUCCCAUAAACCGUGGCUCAGUUCAGAUCGUAGGCUGCAACUCGCCUACGUGAAGGAGGAAUCGCUAGUAAUAGCAGGUCAGCAUACUGCGGUGAAUACGUUCCCGGUCCU
rnacentral:rRNA from 1 species